ensembl:misc_RNA Y_RNA Y RNA
GGUUGGUCCGAAGGUAGUGAGUUAUCAAGUUCACAGUUACAGACCACCUUCCUACUUUUUCCGCGAUUCUCACUAUUGCGCUUGACUUUAA